CGGCAGGUAUUAUUACUUUUUGGAGACUGA
rnacentral:piRNA from 1 species